rnacentral:rRNA from 1 species
UGCCUGGCGGCGAUAGCGCGGUGGUCCCACCUGACCCCAUGCCGAACUCAGAAGUGAAACGCCGUAGCGCCGAUGGUAGUGUGGGGUCUCCCCAUGCGAGAGUAGGGAACUGCCAGGC